CUCAGCCUCCUGCAGCUGCAGCUGCAGAAACUGCUAUUUGUCUGCUACCUCCAAACUACUGACAUUACAACAUACUUACAUACAUACAUACAUACAUAUGUCUCCUUCUCCACUUUUUUUCUGUAAAUUCAAUGCUUCAGUUCUAUGCCUAUCAAAAUUCUCUGUGGUGCCCUCCAUGGCAAUUUUGCACAGGCCAGGGGAUACAAUUUUCACCUUUUCUUUGCACAGAAAUGAAGGAAAUAAAAGAAAGUUAAAGAAUGUGACUUGCAAUGGCUUAUGAAGGCAAUGAUCAUGACAGAAAAUUUCUCUAUGCGAUUUGUGAGAAUACUAAAUAUGAAGACGACAGAAAAGUUGAAAUUCAAGUGAAAACAUCAGCAUAAGCCCAUGUCCAACCAGAAGUGAAUGGUAACGUUAGAACUUUGUCAAUAAAAAAUUAAUUUAGCAAUGAACAUAGCUUACAAGCAUUUCAUAUCGUGGCAGAAAUUAUCUCGACCUUGGCAUUGGUAAAACCAUGCUAAGAUAUGAGUAUGAGUUACACAGUAUAAACAAGCAUUGCAUUUCUUAUACAUAAUACUUGAAUGAAUAACUAUUACAAAAUUGUUUCUGCACAAUGUUAUAGCAUUCAUCGUAUUUAGAGUAAUUUGUUGGAUAUAUUAGUCACUAUUAUCACAAAGGGUAACAAGUUGUUUACUGUGUAAGUAGCACAACAAGGUUAAGAAAAGAAUCCGAAAGAUUGGCUCAUUACGGGAGUGGGAUGAAUGAGUAAUAUGGAAAUGUAUCGGUACCCUUUAUUCUCAGGAUUCUCGCUACCUAAUCAGCUAAUCUCGUUUCACCUACCACUUGUUGCAAUGCAUGAAAGCUUCGAUUGCCAGGUAGUGAGAAACUUUGUUGGUUGUGUGCUUUAUAAGUUAUCUGUUUCUUUCUCCCUUGCUCAGGAAAACAAAUUUUCCCGUCUCUUUGCAAAACGUGGCCUGAAGGGUUAUUGUUAUCGGCGGGCUCAUUUGGAAACCUGUCCAGGUGGUAUAGUUUGUUACUCUUGAAAAAAAAGCCCUGAGAGCAGACUGAAAUGGAUAGAGCUGUUGCACAACGUACCUCAAAUGUUCUGCCGAGAAAUCGCAGUGCUUGGUCUCAUGUGGAAUGUCUGGAAGAAUUGUUUG